UACAGAGGUCCCAAGCGUUGUUCGGAUUCACUGGGCGUAAAGGGUGCGUAGGCGGUCGGGUAAGUCUGAUGUGAAAUCUCACAGCUUAACUGUGAAACUGCAUUGGAUACUAUCCGGCUAGAGGAAUGGAGGGGAGACUGGAAUACUUGGUGUAGCAGUGAAAUGCGUAGAUAUCAAGUGGAACACCAGUGGCGAAGGCGAGUCUCUGGACAUUUCCUGACGCUGAGGCUCGAAAGCCAGGGGAGCAAACGGG
rnacentral:rRNA from 1 species